CGGAAGGGUCACUAAAGUAAUUUCAAACGUAGUUCCCUCUUGAGCCUUUAACAAAGGUUAGCCGCUCAUUCUCCUAGGGUUUUUCGCCAGCUUCAACACUAGGGUUUCAGACUUGCAGCAGUUCUUGUAAGUCAAGAUGUCCAGAGUUUAUGUCGGAAAUCUUGAUCCCCGAGUCACUGAGCGCGAACUCGAGGAUGAAUUUCGUGUGUUUGGAGUUAUCAGAAGUGUAUGGGUUGCCAGAAGACCUCCAGGCUAUGCUUUCAUUGAUUUUGACGAUCGGAGAGAUGCCCAGGAUGCCAUCAGAGAUCUUGAUGGCAAAAAUGGAUGGAGAGUUGAACUCUCACAUAACUCCAGCGGUGGUGGUGGAGGCCGUGGUGGUGGCGGCGGUGGUCGCGGAAGGUCUGGUUCUGAUUUAAAGUGUUAUGAAUGUGGCGAGGCUGGUCAUUUUGCUCGUGAGUGCAGAACUCGUGGUGGUACUGGGAGGCGUAGAAGUCGCAGCCCCCCUAGAUACCGCCGGAGUCCAAGUUAUGGUCGGAGGAGUUAUAGUCCUCGUGCUCGUUCCCCUCGGCGUCGAAGCUUAUCACCCAAAGAUCGCAGCUUCAGCAGGUCGCCGUAUCGUGGACGAGAGGAAGUGCCAUAUGCUAACGGAGAUGGUCCUAGGGAAAGAGUCGAAAGACGCAGAAGCAGGAGCUAAGCAUUGAUCUUAUUCUAGUAUUUGAACUGAUGGCGCAGUUUUUACAGUAGUGUUUACUCUGCUUGGACUUAGUUACUGCUAUGUAAGUGGGCGACAUCUUCAGCUUCGACUGAGGCAUUUGGUUGUCUUUACUACUUCAGUAGUCUCUACGUGGUACUGCUUCAUUGGUUUUCUGCAUCUGCACUUCUCUUUCGCCCUUCACUGCCCUGCUGUGGGAUCUUCAAUUUGAAACAUUGUGGAUCCCAACUGGCUAGAGUGGGCCUGCGUCAAAUGCUUAUGACAAGUUCGUAAUUCUUCUAAAAGGGAACUGUUGACUUCUAUUCCCUUUGAGUUGCAAGAUGAGGGAGAAUGCUGACUUAAGGGGCUGAAAGUUGCAUGUUCCUCUAUCACAAUGUUACCCUCUUCACCGACACUAGGUUGGGAUCUUUGUGCCUGGUGCCUUCUUCCCCUCGUUGAGAUGUUAUCUUUAUGGUUUUGGUAGUGAACGACCCACUCACUUCAGUCCCCCCCCCUCGACUAGCGAAAUCAGAGAUUGAUAUUAGUUCAUUGACCUUGUGGGCGUUCCCUAUAGAAGUUGACACAACCUAGAUUCCUACGUUAUUUCUUUAGCCUUUGAAAAUUGAUCUUCUUUGAAUAUUUUCCUGCGAUUGUUUGUGUUAGAAAUUUUGUUGCCUUAAACAGCGGUAUCUGCAAUCAGCUUGUUUACCCGCUUGGAAAUGUUUUGAUUUGUGGCUGUAUUUGUCCUGGUCACUGUUUUUUGGGUUUGUUUGUUUAGCUCUUUUUGACCGUUUGCUUUUGUUGGUGGAUUUUUGAGUAUUCACUAAUGGAGAAGGUGAAUAUUUUGUAUGUUUUUGACACAAUGAUACAAAAUGUCUGCAUGAAUUUUGCUUUGUUAACCUCU